UUGUUUUCUCCUUCCCUCCUCCUCCUCUCUCUCUCUCUCUCUCUCUCUCAACAACGGCGGGCGCUCGGUGUCGUCUGCUGGCCCCGCAUGCGGCCACCACGCCGGAUCCGCGCGGGUGGUGGGAGCGCACGGCGGGGCGGCCCGGAGGUGGCGGUGGCGAGGCCAAGCGGCCGCGGCUGCGCGGAGGUGGAGGCGGAGGCACGGCGCGCAGCGGGGCGAAGGCGCAGCGUGCGGCGGCCAGGCUGCCGCGGCGCACCGUCCACAAGAAAGCGCAUCGCGCCGAGAUGCGUCAGCCGGGGAUGGCGGCGGCACGGCUCGCCGUGACCUCAUCUGAGGCAGCGGCUUCAUCAGCUCAUGGCCUGUCUGCUUCCUCCUCGACCGCGGCUACACUGUCCACACCACCGUCAAUAACAUCGUUGACAUGCCCCCUCUCUCCUCCAAGCGCCAGAUGCAAUGGUACGAGAUGAUCUCUUGUUCUUGACGGAUUUUCUCCCCCUUGCAGAUGAUGAGGACUUCUACGAAGCACUUGCUGGCCCUGAUCUACUCGACCCUGCUUCCGGCCGGUCGGCGAUUGACGGCGCCCACGGCAAGCUCAGCAAAGACGAUAUCAUCAAUAAAGGUGUUCCAAGCAUAGCCAGCUGUUGUUUCAAAGAGAGUCAGGGAUCUGAGAAAAUGCCUUUGCACUCACUGCUCACAAAGCAAUGGCAGAUGUCCAAGUGCAGAGAAGUCUAUGACCAUGGACAUGCUAUCUCAGUCUCACCAGGUACAAAGAGAACCAUGACAACUUGACGGCCAGCCCUAUGGGCAGAUGCAAUCUCUAUCUGCCAGUGCCAGGUACGGAUUCGAUCUACCUGUUGGUAAAUUCACAAUUUCCCUGAAUUUUCUUACAGAAGUUUGUUUCUUCAGAUAUGUGGCAUAACGAUGCCAUCAUUUAUUCCUGACAUCAAAAAUGGGCUUUUAUAAUCCAUAUUUUUGCUUACUAUGAGAAGAAGGUAUGACCAAAUGUAUUGAUCUGUUGAAAGCAAACCAUGUUCAUCGGCAAGUUGCUUGGAUAUACUGAUUCUCAUGGGAACCAAUGCAUUUAGGUCUUAUCAUUAUUUACAAAGGAUUGUGCUGAUAUAGGAUUAUCUACUACUAUUUACAAAGUACAAACUAAUUGUUCAUACCUUCAGAGGCUUCCAGGUUCAGCCAUGGUCAUCAUGAGUACAAGCUGCUGAGAGCAACAUCCGUAUGGAGCAUUACAGGUUCUGUGAAUUGUGCUAAUAAAUAAUGGGUUAACAAGCAUGCCGUGGUAAUCAUGGGUCAAGCUGCUGAGAGCAACAACCAUAUGGAGCAUUGCAGGUUCUGUGAAUUGUGCUAAUAAAUAAUUUGUUAACAAGCUGACCGUGUUCAGUAUUGAGUUCAUCCACCUAUUUGUUCUUGCUGCCAUUCUAAGAAGAUUUGGAGAGGAAGGCUGUUUGUGGUUCCUGCUAUUCCAAGAAGAGGUGGAGAGGAAGGCUGAGGUGCUCGAGAAGAAAAUCUUUCUAUUUUGGGGCCAUGUAAAACACAAAAUCAAGUUAGCAUAAAUUAUUGGGGGCUUAUGGUUCCUUUUUUUGACUAAUUUCAGGUUUUCACACUGAUAGCAGCAGGUUUGACUAAUUUCAGGUUUGAUUUGAUUAUUCUAUUCUCUUCUCGACUUAAUGAAUGCUUUGAUAUUUUCCACUAAUUAAAGGUGGGUUGUGAUUGAUCCAGGAAGAGUAUUAGUGAUGGGGUUAAAUACUAAGACCUUAGCUAAGUUGUCUCUAUAUAAAUGGAGGGUUUUUUUUCCUUUGGGUGUUUUUUCAUUCAUUGAGUUUAGCUUUUUUAUUGUUGUAUGUACCCAACUGAAUGCCAUACAUGAGCUCCUGUAUGUCUGUUCUAAGAGAUUUACCUGAUAAUACUAUAUGCCAAUAUUAAGUUAUUUUGGGUACAGUCAAGGACACAGUUCAAAUGCUUGCAUGGUAGAGCUGACGAGUUCAGGCAAUAUGGCUACAACGCAGUUCUUAUGCAAUCUGAUUCUGUCAAGUAUGCUUUUAUGCAACAUGUGAUAUUUUUUUUCUUCUUCUGCGGUCAUUUGUGGAGAGUUUAUCUAAAAGGCUGAAGCAUGGACUUCACAAACCGCUUAAUGCAAGAUCAAAGUAUCUAAAUGCCUUUUCAGUAUGCUUUAUUCUGUUUUGAUUAUCUGACAUAUUGUCCCUCAAAAUUUGAUAGCAAUCGAGGACAAGGGCACCUAGGUUUGCAGAUCAGCUAUGUUGCUGCUAGGUAUGUGAGGCUUUAAUACAGAUUGACAUUUUUAACCUGAGGAGAAUGUUGACUUCUGCCUUGUUCGGCUGGCUGGCUGGCUGGAUGGCUGGCUGAUUUGGCGUGAAAGGAAAACACUGCUGGUUGGCUGGCUGGCUGGCUGGCUGACUGAUUUGGCGUGAGAGGAAAAUACUGUUGAGACUGGCUGAAUCUCCCAGCCGAACAAGGCGAUGUGUCUGAUAGCUGGAGUUAUGCUUUGCGACGUGUCAGAUCUGUACAGCCGUCAACACCUGCCAACACGCUGUGCACACCAUCUUAUGUUUUGCAGUUCGACAUAUCAAUUAUUUAAAACCCGUGUAUCAAAUCAAUACCACGCUUUCUAUUUUCCCCUUUCUAAUAAGCAAUUGUUUUCUAUUUCCCCCCAUCUAAUAAGCAAUUGCUUGAAUCCAUGGUUCUAAAUAAAUUCUUGUUUAUAAGCUUUUUAUAAAUUUAAAGUUUUUAUAAA